rnacentral:rRNA from 1 species
CAACCCCAGGUGAGGUGGGGCUAUCCGCUGAGUUUAAGCAUAUCAAUAAGCGGAGG